UGGAAACCUGCGUGACACAGACAGACAGUUAUCCAAGAGUUGGGGGGCUGAGAGGCAUGAAGGGAGUCACACUCAGACUGAUGGACAACAGAGUUUAGGAUAACUUUGGUUCUGAAUCAUAAUUACAUAAAAAUAAAAGUCCAAGUUCUAAAGGAGGUUCUAAAGAAGGUUCUAAAGGAGGUCCUAAAGAAGGUUCUAAAGAAGGUUCUAAAGAAGGUUCUAAAGGAGGUUCUAAAGGAGGUUUUAAAGGAGGUUCUAAACAAGGUCUUAAAGGAAGUCCUAAAGGAGGUUCUAAAGGAGGUUCUAAAGAAGGUUCUAAAGGAGGUUCUAAAGGAGGUUCUAAAGAAGGUUCUUAAGAAGGUUCUUAAGAAGGUUCUAAAGAAGGUUCUAAAGGAGGUUCUGUAAAAGUUUAAAAAGACUGAAUGGUUUGUUCGAUCCUCAGCCUGUGGUAAAACGUAAUAACGGCGAAAUCUGAG